GUUUCUCUGUUCACGGGAUUGAUUGGCAUUAGCGGCGAUGAAGGACGUGCAGGAGGACGAUAUGCGUUGUUGUUGUGACGGUGUCUGAAUUGUGUGCGGUGUGCACGGGGACCCCUUNAACUUAAGCAUAAGCUUGGA
rnacentral:misc_RNA from 1 species